rnacentral:rRNA from 1 species
GAUGAACGCUGGCGGCGUGCCUAAUACAUGCAAGUCGAGCGAACAGACGAGGAGCUUUCUCCUCUGACGUUAGCGGCGGACGGGUGAGUAACACGUUGAUCACCUACCUAUUUUACUGGGAUAACUGCGGAAAGCCGGUGAUACUACCGGAUAAUAUAUUCAACCGCAUGGUUCAAUAGUGAUUGACGCUUUUGCUGUUACUUUUAGAUGGUUUCGCGUCGCAUUAGCUAGUUGGUAAGGUAACGGCUUACCAAGGCAACGAUGCGUAGCCGACCUGAGAGGGUGAUCGGCCACACUGGAACUGAGACACGGUCCAGACUCCUACGGGAGGCAGCAGUAGGGAAUCUUCGGCAAAGGGCGAAAGCCUGACAGAGCAACGCCGCGUGAGUGAUGAAGGUCUUCGGAUCGUAAAGCUCUGUUAUUAGGGAAGAACAGAUGUGUAAGUAAACAUGGACGUCUUGACGGUACCUAAUCAGAAAGCAACGGCUAACUACGUG